AAUAAAGUGGCCGAAAAUAGGCAUUAAAUUGUAAAUUUAAUAAUGAAUAAUUAAUUCCUUUAUUA
rnacentral:tRNA from 1 species